GAUGAAGAACGCAGCGAAAUGCGAUAAGUAAUGUGAAUUGCAGAAUUCCGUGAAUCAUCGAAUCUUUGAACGCACAUUGCGCCCGCCAGUAUUCUGGCGGGCAUGCCUGUUCGAGCGUCAUUUCAACCAUCAAGCCCCCGGCUUGUGUUGGGGACCUGCGGCUGCCGCAGGCCCUGAAAUGCAGUGGCGGGCUCGCUGUCACUCCGAGCGUAGUAGUUACAUCUCGCUCUGGGCGUGCUGCGGGUUCCGGCCGUUAAAAGCCUUAUUUACCCAAGGUUGACCUCGGAUCAGGUAGGAAGACCCGCUGAACUUAAGCAUAUCAAUAAGCGGAGGA
rnacentral:misc_RNA from 1 species